rnacentral:rRNA from 1 species
CACGUAGGGUGCGAGCGUUGUCCGGAAUUAUUGGGCGUAAAGAGCUCGUAGGCGGUGUGUCGCGUCGGCCGUGAAAACCUGCAGCUUAACUGUGGGCUUGCGGUCGAUACGGGCAUCACUGGAGUUCGGCAGGGGAGACUGGAAUUCCUGGUGUAGCGGUGAAAUGCGCAGAUAUCGAGGAGGAACACCGGUGGCGAAGGCGGGUCUCUGGGCCGAUACUGAC